GAUGAAUGCUGGCGGCGUGCCUAACACAUGCAAGUCAAGCGGCAGCGCGAGUAGUUUACUACUUGGCGGCGAGCGGCGGACGGCUGAGUAACGCGUGGGAACGUGCCCCAAAGUGAGGAAUAACUGCCCGAAAGGGUGGCUAAUGCCGCAUAUGAUCUUCGGAUUAAAGUCUUCGGACGCUUUGGGAGCGGCCCGCGUCGGAUUAGGUAGUUGGUGAGGUAAUGGCUCCCCAAGCCGACGAUCCGUAGCUGGUCUGAGAGGAUGAUCAGCCAGACUGGGACUGAGACACGGCCCAGACUCCUACGGGAGGCAGCAGUGAGGAAUCUUCCACAAUGGGCGAAAGCCUGAUGGAGCAACGCCGCGUGAAGGAUGAAGGCCCUCGGGUUGUAAACUUCUUUUAUAAGUGAAGAAUAUGACGGUAACUUAUGAAUAAGCACCGGCUAACUACGUGCCAGCCGCCGCCGUAA
rnacentral:rRNA from 1 species